rnacentral:lncRNA from 1 species
AUGUGGCAGAAUGAUGACUCUGAGUCAGUAGAAAAGAGAAAAUCUUUUAAAAUACUCUUGAGACUAGAACUAACUGUUAAAGGAAGAGCAUUAUUUUAUCAUACUGCUAAUGAGCCAGAGGAAGGAUUAUUAUUGUUUGCUGUUGUUUUGUCUGGACAACUCUUUCCUCUGAAACAAACAUGCCAACUUCAGGUAAACAAAGAAGAGAAGACACAUUUUUUCCUGUUGUUUCAGUUAUACGCUCAGGAAUAUUUAAUCGGAGAAAAGGAACCCCAAGAAAACUCUCAGAAGAGGAUGGGUAGAUUUUGCAUUUUGGAAAAAGAAAAGGAAAAAGAAGAGGGUGGCUCUGGCCGAUGGUUUCUGUGCGUUCCUCGCAAGGACCCCGGCACGGGAGGCCCGCGCCCUCCGACCUGCGGCCCCGACGGGGCGCAGCGCCCCGCAGCGCCCCGCAGCCGCGGGGCAGCGCCCGCGGAUUUUUCUCCCCCUUCUCCCUCCUGCUCGCUUUGCACCGCUGGGGGAAGGCUGCACUUCGCCCCGGCGGGGAGCGGCAUCGCCCGGCCGAGGGAGCCUCCCGCGGAGGCGGGAGCGGCCGGGCGCCGCAGCAGGGGCCGGGGCACCGCUGCCCCCAGCCCGGCCCGACGGCGACGGCGCCUUCCCUCCUCCCCAACACGGACGCUAAAUCCUCUUCACGUCGCACGGCAGAACUUACGGGCCGGGGGCGCGGAGCGGCCGGGGGGCGGCGGGAGCGGGGGGCGGCCCGGCGGCAGGGCACCCCCGUCCCCGCGCCCGGCGGGCCGAGCGGGCGCCCCUUCCCCCCGCAAGCGCGGCCGUGGCCCGGGGCGGCGGGCACUCACUCACCAGCUGCAGCGAGCAGAGGAAGACGAGCGUGCAGCGCCCCGUGCAGCAGCCCAUGGUGCCGGCCGGCCCCGCCGGAGAGCCGCCGCUCCGCGUCUUCUUGCCGCCCGCGCUAACGCAGCCCCGGCGACGAAGCGGGGGCUCGCCGCAUCCGGACAGCCCGUCCGUCCGUCCGUGCCUCCCUCCCCCGCCUCUCCUUGUCCCCGUCUGUCGCUGCUCCCUCUCCUUUGUUGA